rnacentral:tRNA from 1 species
GGCUUGCUGGUCUAGUGGUAUGAUUGUCGCUUUGGGUGCGAGAGGUCACGGGUUCGAUUCCCGUGCAAGCCC